rnacentral:rRNA from 1 species
CCUACGGGAGGCAGCAGUGGGGAAUAUUGCACAAUGGGGGAAACCCUGAUGCAGCGACGCCGCGUGAGUGAAGAAGUAAUUCGUUAUGUAAAGCUCUAUCAGCAGGGAAGAAAAUGACGGUACCUGAGUAAGAAUCACCGGCUAACUACGUGCCAGAAGCCGCGGGAAUACGCAGGGGGCAAGCGUUAUCCGGAUUUACUGGGUGUAAAGGGCGCGUAGACGGCUGUGCAAGUCAGAAGUGAAAGGGGGGGGCUCAACCCCCGGACUGCUCUUGAAACUGUCCGGCUGGAGUGCAGGAGAGGUAAGUGGAAUGCCUGGUGUAGCGGUGAAAUGCGUAGAUAUUAGGAGGAACACCAGUGGCGAAGGCGGCUUACUGAACUGUAACUGACGUUGAGGCUCGAAAGCGUGGGGAGCAAACAGGAUUAGAUACCCCUGUAGUC